GAUGGAUUUUAAAAAAUCCUCUAGACAC
rnacentral:tRNA from 1 species